rnacentral:rRNA from 1 species
GGUUACUGCUAUCGGUGUUCGUCUAAGCCAUGCGAGUCAUAUGUAGCAAUACAUGGCGUACUGCUCAGUAACACGUGGAUAACCUGCCCUUGGGUCCGGCAUAACCCCGGGAAACAGGGGAUAAUUCCGGAUAACGCACAUAUGCUGGAAUGCUUUAUGCGUGAAAUGGAUUCGUCUGCCCAAGGAUGGGUCUGCGGCCUAUCAGGUAGUAGUGGGUGUAAUGUACCUACUAGCCUACGACGGGUACGGGUUGUGAGAGCAAGAGCCCGGAGAUGGAUUCUGAGACAUGAAUCCAGGCCCUACGGGGCGCAGCAGGUGCGAAAACUUUACAAUGCGGGAAACCGUGAUAAGGGGACACCGAGUGCCAGCAUCCUAUGCUGGCUGUCCAGGUGUGUAAACUACACCUGUUAGCAAGGGCCGGGCAAGACCGGUGCCAGCCGCCGCGGUAACACCGGCGGCCCGAGUGGUGAUCGUGAUUAUUGGGUCUAAAGGGUCCGUAGCCGGUUUGGUCAGUCCUCCGGGAAAUCUGACAGCUUAACUGUUAGGCUUUCGGAGGAUACUGCCAGACUUGGAACCGGGAGAGGUAAGAGGUACUACAGGGGUAGGAGUGAAAUCUUGUAAUCCCUGUGGGACCACCUGUGGCGAAGGCGUCUUACCAGAACGGGUUCGACGGUGAGGGACGAAAGCUGGGGGCACGAACCGGAUUAGAUACCCGGGUAGUCCCAGCCGUAAACGAUGCUCGCUAGGUGUCAGGCAUGGCGCGACCGUGUCUGGUGCCGCAGGGAAGCCGUGAAGCGAGCCACCUGGGAAGUACGGCCGCAAGGCUGAAACUUAA